UACGAAGGGUGCAAGCGUUACUCGGAAUUACUGGGCGUAAAGCGCGCGUAGGCGGCUUUGUAAGUUAGAGGUGAAAGCCCGGGGCUUAACCCUGGAAUUGCCUUUAAGACUGCAUCGCUAGAAUUGUGGAGAGGUAAGUGGAAUUCCGAGUGUAGAGGUGAAAUUCGUAGAUAUUCGGAAGAACACCAGUGGCGAAGGCGACUUACUGGACACAUAUUGACGCUGAGGUGCGAAAGCGUGGGGAGCAAACAGG
rnacentral:rRNA from 1 species